rnacentral:rRNA from 1 species
CGGUAAUACGGGAGUGGCAAGCGUUAUCCGGAAUUAUUGGGCGUAAAGCGUCCGCAGGCGGUYUURCAAAGUCUGUUGUUAAAGCGUGGAGCUCAACUCCAUUUCDGCRAUGGAAACUGKAAGACUAGAGUGUGGUAGGGGCAGAGGGAAUUCCCGGUGUAGCGGUGAAAUGCGUAGAUAUCGGGAAGAACACCAGUGGCGAAGGCGCUCUGCUGGGCCAUAACUGACGCUCAUGGACGAAAGCYAGGGGAGCGAAAGGGAUUAGAUACCCCUGUAGUCCUAGCCGUAAACGAUGAACACUAGGUGUCGGGGGAAUCGACCCCCUCGGUGUCGUAGCCAACGCGUUAAGUGUUCCGCCUGGGGAGUACGCACGCAAGUGUGAAACUCAAAGG